CUCAAUUAUGUUCUCUCUAUAUUCUUUUCUCCAAACAAGGUUAAUAGCUCAUUGAAUUCCUUAACAUCUUAGUUUUAAUGUACCAGUCCUCAAAUGCACCUAACUAAUUAAAUAUUCCCUUAAACCAUUAGAUAUGUCGCAACUACCAUUUAUAACACAAUUCUAUUCAUUCAAUCAUAAUUGCUACCAAUUGCUAAGGAAUUCAGAGUAGGUUUACAUUGACUCUACAUUAUGUAUCAAUAAUUUUCACUCUAAUUGGUACCUCAAUAGUCCCAUGAGCAAUUUGAAUUGAUUAGUGAUCUAAU
rnacentral:lncRNA from 1 species